rnacentral:tRNA from 1 species
GGAUUGUGGCUCAGUGGUAGAGCGCUCGCCCAGCACAUGCAAGGCCCUGGGUUCAAUCCUCAGCACCA